rnacentral:lncRNA from 1 species
UCGAAUCCUCUCUGUAUCCCUAUUUGGUACUCUAGGUUCUAAUUCUCAACAACCAAACUCUAAUAGUUACGAUAAUUUAACAAAAUAGAUUAAGUCCAAUUCCUUUUAUCUAAUAAAGUACCCUAAUUCCUUAGGCAAAACUAAUAUUAUCAAAAGCGUUAUUGAACGUUAAAUUCUCAAUCAUACCAACUAAUUCUUUAUUCCUAAAGCAAUUACGAUUGGCAAACAAUUAAUUUAGUUCUAGUAAU